rnacentral:rRNA from 1 species
GACGAACGCUGGCGGCGUGCCUAAUACAUGCAAGUAGAACGCACAGUUUAUACCGUAGCUUGCUACACCAUACACUGUGAGUUGCGAACGGGUGAGUAACGCGUAGGUAACCUGCCUGGUAGCGGGGGAUAACUAUUGGAAACGAUAGCUAAUACCGCAUAAUAUUAAUUAUUGCAUGAUAAUUGAUUGAAAGAUGCAAUUGCAUCACUACCAGAUGGACCUGCGUUGUAUUAGCUAGUAGGUGAGGUAACGGCUCACCUAGGCGACGAUACAUAGCCGACCUGAGAGGGUGAUCGGCCACACUGGGACUGAGACACGGCCCAGACUCCUACGGGAGGCAGCAGUAGGGAAUCUUCGGCAAUGGACGAAAGUCUGACCGAGCAACGCCGCGUGAGUGAAGAAGGUUUUCGGAUCGUAAAGCUCUGUUGUAAGAGAAGAACGGGUGUGAGAGCGGAAAGUUCACACUGUGACGGUAUCUUGCCAGAAAGGGACGGCUAACUACGUG